rnacentral:rRNA from 1 species
CAGUCGCCACGGUAAUACGUAGGGUGCAAGCGUUAAUCGGAAUUACUGGGCGUAAAGCGUGCGCAGGCGGUUCGUUAAGACAGAUGUGAAAUCCCCGGGCUUAGCCUGGGAACUGCGCUUGUGACUGCACAGCUAGAGUAUGGCAGAGGGGGGUGGAAUUCCACGUGUAGCAGUGAAAUGCGUAGAGAUGUGGAGGAACACCGAUGGCGAAGGCAGCCCCCUGGGCCAAUACUGACGCUCAUGCACGAAAGCGUGGGGAGCAAACAGGAUUAGAUACCCCUGUAGUCCCUGUCUCUUAUAC